rnacentral:rRNA from 1 species
UACGGAGGGUGCGAGCGUUGUCCGGAAUCAUUGGGCGUAAAGGGCGCGUAGGUGGCGGGACAAGCGUGCGGUGAAAGCCUGGGGCUCAACCCCGGGUCGGCCGUGCGAACUGUUUUGCUUGAGCACUGUAGAGGCAGGCGGAAUUCCGGGUGUAGCGGUGGAAUGCGUAGAGAUCCGGAAGAACACCGGUGGCGAAGGCGGCCUGCUGGGCAGUAGCUGACACUGAGGCGCGAAAGCGUGGGGAGCGAACCGG